rnacentral:rRNA from 1 species
GAUCAUGGCUCAGGAUGAACGCUAGCUACAGGCUUAACACAUGCAAGUCGAGGGGCGGCAUGGUCUUAGCUUGCUAAGGCCGAUGGCGACCGGCGCACGGGUGAGUAACACGUAUCCAACCUACCGGUUAUUCCGGGAUAGCCUUUCGAAAGAAAGAUUAAUACCUGAUAGUAUAACGAGAAGGCAUCUUUUUGUUAUUAAAGAAUUUCGAUAACCGAUGGGGAUGCGUUCCAUUAGUUUGUUGGCGGGGUAACGG